UGAAUGCGUUGUCGGAAGGAUGGAUGGGAGGAAAUUUUCUUAUUCGCUAACCUUUGCGAAAGCUCUCUCUUUGCGCUCUUUAUAAUCUCUGCUCUCUUCGUCCUCGGCCGUUAACUGCGGCGACAAUACGUUCUUGUACCCGAUUCUCAGAGGAAUCUCGUCGUCGUCUUACCUUUGGAAUGCCGUCGAUCUCUGUCCUCGGCCGGUAACUGCGGCGACAAUACGUUCUUGUACCCGAUUCUCAGAGGAAUCUCGUCGUCGUCUUACCUUUGGAAUGCCGUCGAUCUCCGCCUCAUUCCUGAUCUCCUCGCUAAGCUUUUCUUCUCUCUCUAGGUUCCAUUUCUUUGAUCUUCUCUGCUUUUUUUUGAAAUGUAUGGGUUCUUUGAUCG
rnacentral:lncRNA from 1 species